AACCCGAAGCUGUGAACCGAAGCCCCAGUAAACGGCGGCCGUAACUAUAACGGUCCUAAGGUAGCGAAAUUCCUUGUCAGGUAAAUUCUGACCCGCACGAAUGGCGUAACGACUUGGGCGCUGUCUCAACGAGAGAUCCGGUGAAAUUUUAAUACCUGUGAAGAUGCAGGUUACCCGCGACAAGACGGAAAGACCCCAUGGAGCUUUACUGUAACUUGAUAUUGGACUUUGGUACGAUCUGUACAGGAUAGGUGGGAGCCUGAGAAGCAUGAGCGCCAGCUUGUGUGGAGGCGACGUUGGGAUACCACCCUGAUCGUAUCGGAGUUCUAACCUAGAACCGUGAAACCGGUUCGGGGACCGUGUCAGGUGGACAGUUUGACUGGGGCGGUCGCCUCCUAAAAUGUAACGGAGGCGCCCAAAGGUUCCCUCAGAAUGGUUGGAAAUCAUUCGAAGAGUGCAAAGGCAUAAGGGAGCUUGACUGCGAGACCUACAAGUCGAGCAGGGACGAAAGUCGGGCUUAGUGAUCCGGUGGUACCGAAUGGAAGGGCCAUCGCUCAACGGAUAAAAGCUACCCUGGGGAUAACAGGCUUAUCUCCCCCAAGAGUCCACAUCGACGGGGAGGUUUGGCACCUCGAUGUCGGCUCAUCGCAUCCUGGGGCUGAAGUAGGUCCCAAGGGUUGGGCUGUUCGCCCAUUAAAGCGGUACGCGAGCUGGGUUCAGAACGUCGUGAGACAGUUCGGUCCCUAUCUGUCGCGGGCGCAGGAAAUUUGAGAGGAGCUGUCCUUAGUACGAGAGGACCGGGAUGGACGUACCGCUGGUGUACCAGUUGUUCCGCCAGGAGCACCGCUGGGUAGCCAAGUACGGACGGGAUAAGCGCUGAAAGCAUCUAAGCGUGAAGCCCCCCUCAAGAUGAGAUUUCCCAGUAUGUAAGACCCCUUGAAGACGACGAGGUUGAUAGGUUCGGGGUGGAAGCACAGCAAUGUGUGCAGCUGACGAAUACUAAUCGGUCGAGGGCUUAUCCUA
rnacentral:rRNA from 1 species